GAUUGACGUUACCCGCAGAAGAAGCACCGGCUAACUCCGUGCCAGCAGCCGCGGUAAUACGGAGGGUGCAAGCGUUAAUCGGAAUUACUGGGCGUAAAGCGCACGCAGGCGGUCUGUCAAGUCGGAUGUGAAAUCCCCGGGCUUAACCUGGGAACUGCAUUCGAAACUGGCAGGCUAGAGUCUUGUAGAGGGGGGUAGAAUUCCAGGUGUAGCGGUGAAAUGCGUAGAGAUCUGGAGGAAUACCGGUGGCGAAGGCGGCCCCCUGGACAAAGACUGAC
rnacentral:rRNA from 1 species